AUUACAUCAUCUGAUGCUAUUUACUUAGAAACAAGAAACAUGGGUUUCAGUAAUGGAUCUGUGAUUGCCAACUCUACAAUACUGUUUCAAAACAAUGACCUGGAUGCACCUUUGGUGGGAAAUAUCUUUAAGGAUUUUUCAAAUUCUUCUGUCCUUGACAUAGACAAGAAUGAUAUAUUAGCCCAAAGUGCUCCGCUACCUGAUCUUCCUGUGAAAAAUACCUCUGAGCCGACAAAAAAGCCUUUUACCAGUGAUUCUGCCACGACAGGGACGGGCACCAUGCUGGAGCACACCACCCGCUACUCAUCCACACCUCCUGUCAGUUUGGAUGCUGUCUCAACCACACAACACAGUAGUCCUACCACAACCUCACACUCCACUGACGCCUCUCCUGAAUCUCCGAUCACCUCUACCAGCACUCUGCCACAUUCUUCUGCAAACAAUCACAGAGAGAUUAGCAGCACCCCUUCAGAGGAAAAAAUCCAUCCCACUGACCAUCCUGAGAGCGCUUCUCCAGAGACACCGAUGACGAGCUGGACUUCAUCUGUCACGACGAGCACGCUGCCAACCGGUCAAACUCAACACCCUACUUCCUCCACACAGAGUACGCCUGCCCCCAUGACUGCCCUGGCUGGAACCAGUGUCAGCACUGAGUCAAGCAGGAACACAGUUCAUAGUUCAACAGGUGACAGUAACAACACGCCGUGGCCAGGGUCUUCAGGCGCAAGAACCACACAUACCGGUGCGAGCACGAAUAGCAUAUCUACCAGCAAGUCCGCUCACCCGGUGCUGACAGAGAUGUCUGAACACUCUGACGUACCGCACCACGCGCACAGCCCUAGCGCCACAACGGCCAGUUCAGCUGGGGUGCCAGGGUGGGGCAUUGCCCUUCUGGUCCUGGCUGCCAUAAUCUUAUUCAUCCUUUUGAUCAUCCUGAUCAUCAUCCUUAUCUUGCUGGUGUUCUGGUGUUGCAGAGGAGGCCUUGUGAAUGCGUCUGAUCCCAACCCAUAUCGGCAAGGUUACUACAACCCAGACAUUCCGCUGUAUUCGACACAGUCCACCAUCAAUUUACCCAAUGGCACGUACUCUGUAAGUAAAUCCCUGCUUUCUCUUUGCAUGCACAGUUAAAAUGGGCAGGGUAAAACGGUUUAUGGAGAAUAAGGAGCCUUUUUGAUAGACCGGCCCUCCCCAAACUGGAUACUUUCCUCCAUUUUACGUGC
rnacentral:lncRNA from 1 species